AAAAAAAAGACUUUAAUAAAAUACCCAUUUCUAAAUGGGUCCUUCUCUUCUCCGAGUCGCUGAUCUUCGCCGAGACCUCUCUUAGCCGAUGAAGCUUUAACAUCAGCUCAAGCUCAUAACUCGAUUCCAUCGAUUUUUUUAAUUUUAAUUUAUUUUCUUUUUUUCGCUGGAUUGUCUCCUGUUUAUUCCGCUUUCCAGUUUUGGCCAUAUUCAUAAUUUUGGUAAGUCACUGGAUUUAAAAGUUUUAUUUUUUUUAUUUAAAAUUAAUUUCAGUCAGUUUUGCACCCAAUUUGAAAAUCCAGCGUGCAUUUAAUCAGAAUUCAUGUCUUAUUUUGGUUUCCCCCAAUUUGGAUGGAAACCUAACAUUGUCAAAUUCCUUUGAUGCCGCCACAAUUUAAACUCAAUAAUAUCUUCUGUUGUUUUUAUACUGACCCAAUUGUCCUUCACGUGUAAUUGCAUGCUACUGAAAUUAAAUACUUAAAUAUAUUUGAUUUUCCUAUUUUCUUUAAUGUGAACAAGUUGACAGUUGUGAUUUUGGUAAAGAAUUUUACUUUCCUAAUAGAAUUUGUUUUGUGUGCUAAGAAGUUUAUUGGAAGGAAAUGAGAACAUUGCAUCUUUCCAUACUCUUCCAAUUUUGUAAUCCUUAAUUGCAUUGUGAAUUGGAUGAAAGUUUGGAUAAAUGGAAAUUUUGAUUGUAAUCUUCUGGAGGCUUAAAAAUGAAAAGAUAGAUUGCCUCUAGAUUUUAUGGGCAUUUCCAUCUAAUUCUCGAAUUCAUUAUUAAUGUGCUUUUUACUGCGACAUUUAUUAUGUGGCAAAUGAUUAGAUUGAAUUAUUUUGUUUUGAGCUGUGUGCAUGAUUAUUUAGCACGAGACAUCUAUACUUGCUAGUGUUAUAAUUUUGACUAUCAGUGGAUUCGAUUUUUUUCCCCUUCUUCUAAUGCCUGAAAUCUUGUUAACAGCUUGAAUCACUAUGAAUCACUGAAGCCACUAUGAAUCACUAAUCCUUUCUAUAGCUAUAUGAUCCAACCAUGUGUUUGCACAGCUGGAAAGUUUCAAGUUGAAUUUAUGGUCCUGUGAAAUUUAUGUGCUUUCAGGGUAUAUUUUUGACAAGUUAAAUGUUUCAUUUGAACAAAUUAUUUGAUUUUUUGUAGUAAAAGAAUAACAUAUAUACCUACCAUAAUAAAAAUCAGAAUAAAAUAGGGGAGGAAUGGAAAAAGAUUGUUACAUAAGGGUAAGAGGAAUAAAAGAAGUUGCAUUUAGUUUUCCUCCUCCUGUGUGCAUUAGAAGCCCAACUAUUAUCUUCUGAUUCCAAACCACCCCGACUGUACACAAGGUACUUCCACAGAACCCUUGGUCUUCCACUUCCUCUUAAAGCGGGAAAAGUGCUUCUUUCAGUAACAUGCAUCACCUAAGCCAUUUAUGAAGAGUGAAUCAAGGUUCUGACUCUUUCACGCAAAAGUAUAUAAAUAAUGGAUUGUGCUUUCCCCCUUUUCCAUGCCUAGAAGAAGAGAACUACAGAAAGAUGCUUCCUUCUCCUCCUUAAGAGCAUAUACUGGUGGGGCUUAUUUGAUGUGACUUAUGCUCUCUUCUGCUUAUAGGAACCAAUUAAGGAGGCUGUAUCCUGUUUGAUGUGAUUUAUGUUCAUUAAGCACGUAUAAAAAAAUUUUACCCAGUAAAGACUAGUAUUCCCAUCUCUAAUUUGAUUGAAUGAUUUGAGACUUCUGUUAAGGACUUCCAUCGUUUGUUAUGGAACAGUAAUUCACCAACUUCAGUUGAUUCAUUGGUGGCUUUCUAAACUCAUUAUUCUCGGUUACUUGAGUCUAAAUUGUUAUUAUGGAAUAUUUAAUUUGAUGUUUGGCAAUAUUAAAAGAAGUGAUAAAAAUAUUAGAAAAACAUUUGGAAUAGCAUAUGAACAGUAUUUCUGAAACCAGUUAACAAGUCUGAUUAGUGAUGAAAACAACUUUUGUUCUUAGAGGAGAAAAAAUAUAAGCAUCUCGCAGAAAAUACACAUUGACCUUUCAAAUGGACUAGGAUAUGGGGACAAUAAAAUGAAAAGUGCGCUGCAUAUAAACAAUGGGAACAGGAGAGCUUCUCCCAAAUUUUGCAAUCUUGCAACACUGGCUAUUUGAUUUAGAAAUUUUAUGAGACUAUCUUUUCUGAAUGCUCGUUCAUUGGGUCAUGACCCAUCUUUUCCCAUUGCAGGUACCCUGGUCAGACAAUAUGGGUGGCAUUACUUAUGGAACAUGACUGAUUAGGGAUGCAUUAUUCCAAUUGGCAUAUUAUGUUGUUUGUCUAAAUUUUGGAUCUCUGGUUAUUUGUUUUAUGAAGGACAAAUUCAUUAGCCUAUGCAAAGAUGAAUUUACCAGCACACCACCUUUCAGGGCAGAUCUCGGGACAGGCACUGAACCAAGCUGGUACUUCAGUGCCCAAGCUGGCACAGCAAAAUGGAAAUCCUCUACCUGGUCAGAUGCAAAAUCCUAGUAUCCAUCGCGGUGUCCCAUAUAUGGACCCUGAAUUUGCAAAAGCACGCAUAUAUAUGGCAAAAAAGAUGUAAACUUCGGUUAUUUAUGUUAUUUAGAGACACUUUUUUNUAUUAUAAUUAAUAUUCUUGAAG
rnacentral:lncRNA from 1 species